rnacentral:tRNA from 1 species
CGCGGGCGUCGGCAGCGUGCUCGCGGGCGCCCUCGCCGCCCGGUACGGCAGCCGCUGGAUCCUCCGCGCGGUCCAGCCCUUGGCCUGCGU